rnacentral:misc_RNA from 1 species
CCGAGUGCGGGCCUCGCGGCCCAACCUCCCACCCUUGUCUCUAUACACCUGUUGCUUUGGCGGGCCCACCGGGGCCACCUGGUCGCCGGGGGAACGCACGUCCCCGGGCCCGCGCCCGCCGAAGCGCUCUGUGAACCCUGAUGAAGAUGGGCUGUCUGAGUACUAUGAAAAUUGUCA